GAAAUGCGAUAAGUAGUGUGAAUUGCAGAAUUCAGUGAAUCAUCGAAUCUUUGAACGCACAUUGCGCCCCUUGGUAUUCCAUGGGGCAUGCCUGUUCGAGCGUCAUUUGUACCCUCAAGCUCUGCUUGGUGUUGGGUGUUUGUCCCGUCUCCGCGCGUGGACUCGCCCCAAAGUGAUUGGCAGCCGGCGUACUGGUCCCGGAGCGCAGCACAUGUCGCGCAAACGAGUGCCUUGGUACGGCGGCGUCCAUAAGCCCCUCUCUCACGCUCUUGACAUCGGAUCAGGUAGGGAUACCCGCUGAACUUAAGC
rnacentral:misc_RNA from 1 species